rnacentral:siRNA from 1 species
CAUCUUCACUAGGGACAUCGCCGG